AGUACUCCCUCCGUCCCGUUAAUGAAGUCCCCUUUCUUUUGGACACGGGUAUUUAGGAGACUAAAAUUAAGAGUUAAAUCAAGUCCCCUUAUUCCCACUUAAUUACUCCCUGCCGCACCACCGCCUGUGCACCACCACAAUUUCUGAACCACCGCACCACCGCCUGUGCACCACCGGACCACCGCACCACCGCCUGUGCACCACCGCACCACCGCCAGAACAGUGAACGGAAAUCAAAAAACGGAGGCGCCUUGAAAUCAAAAAACGGAAAUCACCAAAACACUGGAAAUCAAAAAACGGAAAUCACCAAAACACUGGGCCUUAAUUUCAAUUUCUGAGCCGGAACACCAAAACACCACCACAGAGAAAUCAAAAAAUG
rnacentral:lncRNA from 1 species